AUCUCGUGUUCACUCGGUGCCUCCCUUCUCCCUCCUCCCUACUCCCCUUCUUCUUUUCCUUUCACAUGUGGUUCUUCUAUGGAUGGUUUUUCAGCAAACCCUAGCUCUUUACGCCCUCAUUUCGUCUCUCCUAUCUUCUCCCUCCUUCUUUCUCUAUCCAUUUUUCUUCUCUGCUACAUCUCUCUCACUCCACAAUAAUAAUUGAACAUGGCGGCUGAUAUCCUUGAUUGUGGCUAGGGUUUUCUCGUUCUUCUUCUUUCAAGGUUAACAGGAAGUAGACGAAGAUAAUGGACAAGAUUACCAGCCAAAGGAAGGAGAUAAUGCCGAAACUGAGCUUGAAAAGCACUAAGAUACUUUGGGCUGAGAUGGCUCGAGCUGAGGCAGCUAAGAAACUCUGGGCUUAUAUAGUGAAGGAUUUGCUCAAGAUCCCAACAGGCGUAACAUAAAAUUUGACAAGAUGUUGCAUUCCAUUUUUCGUGUAGAUACCAUCAACAGGUUCCGGAUGAAUAAAUCUCUCUAUAAGCAUGUAUGGUCGCUUAGUCAGAAGAAGGACAGGGACUCUGAUGCUCUAUGAUGGAAAACUUUUUGAGAAAUUAUAGAUUAUGCAAAAUGGUCAUAGUAACAUUGUGGUAACAUUUAUUAUCUUAUAAAAAACUCUUCUGCUAGAUUUCUAUGGAUGUUUUUCUUUGAUCAUCAAUUUUCGUUCCUCCUUAACACACUGUUUCCUUUCCCAUUGCUUGAUAAUGUGAUUUUAUUUCAUAUACCAGGUCUUGGAAGAUAAGCCUGAUCAAUCAAAAUGGACGCUGAAAUAUAUAGCAUUUGGCCGUGACAUUGAGUUCUCUUGGCUUGCUCGAAAUCUGCAGCCCAUCCCAAACCAGAAAAUUCAUUGGAGAUCUCUAGAAGGUCUUCCAAUCAGGUGAGAAUUAUAUGCAGCAGCAAUGCUGAAGCUUUGGUGCUGUUCGAUUUUACCCAAGAGGUACUUCAUCAUGUCUUGUAGAAAAUGUGGCCUGAUGGUCAGACUGCUGUUACUGCAGAUUGGAAGCGCAGUGCUCACUUUUGAGCAUACUUUACUGGUUAUCUUGGUUUAGGGGCUAACUAUGGCGCAGAGAUGGACUUCUUGACGUUGUGGUAUAAACAAUCUGGUAUUAUAUAGUUCUGAAAAUAUGCAGUUUAGGAAUCUCUUUGUAUAAAUUGCGUAAAAAAAAAAAAUUGAUACCUUUUUUUGGGGAUUAACCGUGUUAUUGUGCCUGUACAGUUUAUUACUCACCUAAUAUGCAUUCAGAUUUUAAAGGCUUCAUUGUUAGUGUAUGUUGUUACUUGGCAUGGUCGGAUAUGGAUGUUGAGAUUGAAAUCGGGAUGGGAUAGAACUAAACUUCUUAUGCAAGUAGAAACGUACAGUAGUAUGCUUGCCACUAACUUGUUUCCUUUUUAUUUGGGGAAAGGGAAUAAUGUAGAUGAUAAUAUUCAUAGAAGUCAUCUAAAAUUGACGAUCUUAAUUAGUACGAAAAAGGUGGUGUGUGUAGUUCGAUCUGGAAUCUUGUUUGUCGCUGGUAAAGUAGUAUAAGGUUUGCAUCAUGCUCUUGACUUUUAGGAACAAUAACUUAUUUGCAGUCGUGUUGGUGCAGAAAGGAUUGUAAUUAUGAGAAUUGAUCUCGAUAUGGGGUUAUGGCCUGGUAUUUGAUAUAGUUUUUCAUUAUGAGGGUAGUAAGGGAAAUUUUCUUACCUAGAAAUUAAAGAAAGAAGUUAUCCACAUUGUGUUGUAUUUACGCCUUUACAUGGUAAACUUCUCGAGACAAAGGAACUUUUCUAGGGCUAUUUUUUAAAUAAUAAGAAAAAUACAAUGGUUCAGUAGUAGUGUAUGAGGAUGAACAUUGGGACAAGAAAGCCAUUAGUUAGAAAAGGGGGUUGAGGUUUUCAGGAAAAAACGUCUUUGAUAAUAAUUUGUAGCCUGGAGUAUAAUGCACGUAGAAGGCAAGAUAAUUUGUUGCCAGAGUACACGUCUGCAAUCAGUAUGCCACCCAUGUACAGUACUUGAUGUUUUGUCUAAAAAACAAUAUAGGUCAUUUAUUACUUAACAAUCAUGGAAAUUGUAGUGUCCACUACGAAGGAAUUUCCAUUGAUUUAGGUAUUAAUCCUCUGUGAUGCGUUUGAAGGAUGCAA